UACGGAGGGUGCAAGCGUUUAUCCGGAUUCACUGGGUUUAAAGGGUGCGUAGGCGGGCAGGUAAGUCAGUGGUGAAAUCCCCCGAGCUUAACUUGGGAACUGCCGUUGAUACUAUCUGUCUUGAAUACUAUGGAGGUAAGCGGAAUAUGUCAUGUAGCGGUGAAAUGCUUAGAUAUGUCAUAGAACACCGAUUGCGAAGGCAGCUAACGAAGCUGUAACUGACGCUGAGGCUCGAAAAGUGCGGGGGAUCAAACAGG
rnacentral:rRNA from 1 species